GGACGAUUCCAAGGAUCACUGUUGUUGCUAAUUUUUUUUCUUUUAAAAAAUACAGAUAUUUUUAAUAAAAGUAUGUUAAUUAUGUUAACCUGUAAUGGGCUUAUUAUUUCAAAAUCAAUUAACAAUGUAAAUAUUUAAAACUUCUGUGUUAAAAUUUCUAAUAGUAUAAAUAGCAGUAGAUUUAGCCCACUCUAAGGGAGAUGGUUGUGCUUUAGUCAGGAGUAGGCCGAGGCAGCCUUCUGGUGCAGCAUGACUCAGUGGGUUUGGAGGCAGGCACACAACUCCACACAUUAUGUAACCAUGCCAUGUGAGGUGCAUUAGGUGACCACUCAUAUGAGCACGUGCUUGGCUCAAAGCCACUAUUGUCUGUAAAAGGUAAAAUUACCCUGCUGACACUACAUAUGGCUUGCACCCAGAGAGAGAAUAAAGCCAUGUCGAAACCGCCUACUCGAGUGUUUUUCCAGUUACCUGCCACCCACCCACCAACUCCCCUUGGACUUUAGUUUGGGCUAGAACCUGACAAUUGGCAUCACGAACAGGAUCCUAAGCGGCUGCAAGUGAGCAGGUGGUUAGUGGCAGCGCAAGGAGACCACACCCUGACUGAGUGGCUACAGGCAGCCAUAUGAACUGUGUGGAAUAAUGCUGGUGAAAUGCCCAAAACUAUUUAGAAGCAGUGGCACCCCUCUUGUGGCAACAUUUGGCAGCAUGCAGUUGGGCCAUCAACAAAUCCAAGGUCCGAGGGCCUGGAUUACCUGCUAAAUUCUUGGGAGUUAUCUGGUCGGGGCUGAAGUUCCAGGCUGGACCUGAUGCUCCAAACCUUGAAUGAAUGGCCAUGGAAAAGCAGCCCAGCCCAGGUGGAGGCUUUGUUACAUGGGCCACCACCCCUAUUCAGUUGCAGAUACACACCAAGGGUAACCGCCUCUGACCAGGUUAACAUGCUCCAACUGCAUUGUGGACUGGGCCCACACCUACACUGAAGUGACCAAUGUUUCCAACUGUUGGAUCUGCACCGCCCUUCUAGCAGCUGCAGAUGGCUUGCCUUAGCACAUACAUUCAGCAUCUGCAGAGAACCAGACAUGGCUGGAGACUUGGGGUCCCAUGGCUGAUGCCUGGAACGCAACGUGGCAAGUUUUGGACAAAGGAUGCCACAAGACCCACAGCACAGCCAUUCCCUGGCUGGCCCAUAGCAUUUAUGAUGGGUGGGGCUGGCUAGUGAGGUAACGUGCAGUACCCCUGGCCCAGGCACUGUGGUGCAUAUAGCAACACUGGGGUAAUAGCACUGUGGGAUGGGUACCCGUCACAGUGUGUGUAAGCAUAAUACAUGUCACCACACCAAAGGUAUGGUGGAAGACGCGGCCCCACCAAGGGGCCUCGAUGGACUGUGUGCCCCCUGGGAGUUUAUGGGUCUGUGGGGACACAGGGUGGCCUUACCUAUAAGCAAACUGGACUGGACAUUAUACCUGAGGGUGGCCUCAUGUACCUGCCACUGUUCUCACAUUGCCCAGAUGCCUGCAUAACUGGGAGGUGCUACACUCUCGGUUUUUGCAAGUGUAAUGAGCACCCUGGUGGUUUUACCCCUUGACAGGCACUAGCCCUGGAGUGUGUGUCACAACUGUAGAAGCCAAGUUACUGCUCUUGCAGAGCAUGCUGCUCAGGCUCUGAAUUACACCUGAGUGGCCCUCUUCCCAUUAAUGGAUGAGGUUGAUCAGAUCAGAAAGGUGGUGUUGCGAAACCGAAUGGUCUUAGACAUAGUAACUGCUGCCUAAGGAGGCACCUGUGCCCUUUUAGGAACACAAUGUUGUACCUUUAUCCCUGACAAUUGGCAGAACAUAACAGCAGCCCUGCAAGGGGUCUCACAGGAGAUUAAGGUAGUCAAGAGCCUUACUGAUGACCCCCUGCAGAGAUGGUAGACAUCCCUGGGCUCUGGCCUACGCUGGGCCCUGAUAGUCAUAAGUAGCAUAGCUGGAAUCCUAGUCGUGAGCUGUUGCUCUCCGUAUUGUUGCUGUGGAUUAUGGAUUCAGGGCUCCACCCUACGGGCACAUGUCCCUACCUGGAGGAUGCCCCUGGCCUAGGGGUGGAGUGUAAGGAAGAUGGCUGCGCUUUAGUCAGGAGCAGGCUGAGGCCACUUUUUGGUGCACCAUGACUCAGUGGGUUUGGAGCGUAGGCACACGACUCCGCACAUUAUGAACCAUGCCACUUGAGGUGCAUUAGGUGACCACUCACGUGAGCUCGUGAUUGCUUCAGAGCCUCUAUUGUCUGUAAAAGGUAUAAUUACCCUGCUGACACUGGACAUAUGGCUCGUGCCCAGAGAGAGGAUAAGGCCAUGUUCAAACUGCCUAUGAUUCCUCGGGUGUUUUUUCAGCUACCCCUCACCCACCCACCAACUCCCUUCGGACUUCAGUUUGGGCUAGAACCUUACACCCACAUAAACUAAAGCUGUAUGGGGUCCUCAGUUUUCAAGCACAUAAAAGUAUUCUGUAUCCAAAAAGUUUGUGAACCACUGCCCUAGAGAAACUUUCCAUGGCGUGCAAGAUGUAUGUAAGAAUGCCCAGUAGAGACAUAAUAAGAAACCAGAAAAAGUGGAAAUCUCAAUGCCUGUCAUCAAGAGAGAUAAAUGCAGCGUGGUCUAUUUCUGUUCUCCUCACAUUGCCCAGAUGCCUGCUUAACUGGGAGGCGUUAUGUUCUCAGUUUUUGCAAGUGUCAUAAAGGAGUGAAUGGAGCAUUACCUGUCAUUAUAGACACUGCAAAAUGAGCUAGUAGCAGGAUUUUUACCACAGGUACCCAUAAGCAACAUGUGGCAUGGUUCACCAUGGUUUUACAUUGUUGUGUAAAUAACUUAAAAUUAUGUGAAUAAUGUAAAAGCAUGGUGAACAAUGCCAUGUUUUGCUUAUGGGUACCUGCGGUAAAAAGCAAAAAUCAUGACCCUGAAGGGGUGAGCAGGCCUACAGGUGCUGGGCAGGCACUGUCUUGCAAAGAGCACAAAAUGUGCAGGUCCCUCUGGGAGUGUUAUAGUGGGUAGCUAGUCAGAAAGAGCAGGGCAGGAGAGGGCUCCCCAUACCCCACACACCAGGAGUGUCAGGUGACCAUCAGGUGAUGGUCUGGCGGUUGUUGACUGUCUUUCUAAAGUAAUAAUUGGUCACACCCGGCAACAGGGAAAAGCCGGCUCCUAAUAGAUAGAAAACACUCGAAACUGGUGAGCAGUAGUUUCCCUAUAAGAUCUCAGGAGUUGAGCCAGUGGGCUCAGGCAGGCACAUGGGACAGCCCACCCCAAGGGAAGAACCAGGGGAGAAAUAACGCAAGACCCCGAAAGCAUGCUGACGUAUAAAACCCCAAGUCAAAAGGUCAAACCACGCACUUGCUUUUUAAGUCGUCCACUUGGCCCUCUUCCAAGUGUACUUUCCUUCCUUUUGUUCCUAUUCUAAAGCUUUUAAAUAAACUUUUACUCCUGUGCUAAAA
rnacentral:lncRNA from 1 species